UGAAGUUAAAGNCAUUGGCUCAACCAAUGUAUGCUUUGGAAACUGUUAGACUNGAGUGCAGAAGGGGAGAGUGGAAUUCCAUGUGUAGCGGUGAAAUGCGUAGAUAUAUGGAGGAACACCGGUGGCGAAAGCGGCUCUCUGGUCUGUCACUGACGCUGAGGCUCGAAAGCGUGGGUAGCGAACAGGAUUAGAUACCCUGGUAGUNCACGCCGUAAACGCUGAGUGCUAGGUGUUAGGUCCUUUCCGGGACUUAGUGCCGACGCUAACGCACUAAGCACUCCGCCUGGGGAGUACGACCGCAAGGUUGAAACUCAAAGGAAUUGACGGGGGCCCGCACAAGCGGUGGAGCAUGUGGUUUAAUUCGAAGCAACGCGAAGAACCUUACCAGGUCUUGACAUCCCGAUGCCCGCUCUAGAGAUAGAGUUUUUCUUCGGAACAUCGGAGACAGGUGGUGCAUGGUUGUCGUCAGCUCGUGUCGUGAGAUGUUGGGUUAAGUCCCGCAACGAGCGCAACCCUUAUUGUUAGUUGCCAUCAUUAAGUUGGGCACUCUAGCGAGACUGCCGGUAAUAAACCGGAGGAAGGUGGGGAUGACGUCAAAUCAUCAUGCCCCUUAUGACCUGGGCUACACACGUGCUACAAUGGUUGGUACAACGAGUCGCAAGCCGGUGACGGCAAGCUAAUCUCUGAAAGCCAAUCUCAGUUCGGAUUGUAGGCUGCAACUCGCCUACAUGAAGUCGGAAUCGCUAGUAAUCGCGGAUCAGCACGCCGCGGUGAAUACGUUCCCGGGCCUUGUACACACCGCCCGUCACACCACGAGAGUUUGUAACACCCAAAGUCGGUGAGGUAACCAUUUAUGGG
rnacentral:rRNA from 1 species